rnacentral:tRNA from 1 species
GAAGGUAUAGCUCAGUGGUAAGGCAUAUGCUUAGCAUGCAUGAGGUCCCGGCAAUUCCCGGUAUCUCCU